rnacentral:rRNA from 1 species
AAUAUUUCGCAAUGGGGGGAACCCUGACGCAGCAACGCCGCGUGAAGGAUUAAGGCCUUCGGGUUGUAAACUUCUUUGAUUAGGGAGGAAAACAAUGACGGUACCGAAAAAACAAGCCACGGCUCACUUCGUGCCCGCCGCCGCGGUAAAACGUAGGUGGCGAGCGUUGUCCGGAAUUACUGGGUGUAAAGGGCGUGUAGGCGGGAAUGUAAGUCAGAUGUGAAAUUCUGGAGGUCAACCUCAGAGCUGCAUCUGAAACUAUGUUUCUUGAGUGCUGGAGAGGAAAGCGGAAUUCCUAGUGUAGCGGUGAAAUGCGUAGAUAUUAGGAGGAACACCAGUGGCGAAGGCGGCUUUCUGGACAGUAACUGACGCUGAGGCGCGAAAGCGUGGGGAGCAAACAGG